rnacentral:rRNA from 1 species
GACGAACGCUGGCGGCGUGCUUAACACAUGCAAGUCGAACGGAAAGGCCCUGCUUUUGUGGGGUGCCCGAUUGGCGAACGGGUGAGUAACACGUGAGUAACCUGCCCUUGACUUUGGGAUAACUUCAGGAAACUGGGGCUAAUACCGGAUAGGAGCUCCUGCUGCAUGGUGGGGGUUGGAAAGUUUCGGCGGUUGGGGCUGGACUCGCGGCUUAUCAGCUUGUUGGUGGGGUAGUGGCUUACCAAGGCUUUGACGGGUAGCCGGCCUGAGAGGGUGACCGGCCACAUUGGGACUGAGAUACGGACCAGAAUCCUACGGGAGGCAGCAGUGGGGAAUAUUGCACAAUGGGCGGAAGCCUGAUGCAGCAACGCCGCGUGCGGGAUGACGGCCUUCGGGUUGUAAACCGCUUUCGCAUGUGACGAAGCGUGAGUGACGGUAAUGGGUAAAGAAGCACCGGCUAACUACGUG